rnacentral:lncRNA from 1 species
AGGGCUGCUGAGAUGGUUCAGUGAGUAAACACGCUUAUCACCAGGUCCAGCGACCUGAAUUCAGUUUCAGUUUCCAAGUUCACACUGGAGGAUGGAGAAAAUGAAGAAAGCUGUAAAUGUUUUCCUCUGACUGUGUACUAUGCCUCCUAAUAUAUAUAUUUAAAUUCCUCUAUCCAGAAUAACAGAGAAUAGAGGACCAACAAAGACCUCCUUAUGACACAAAACAAAUGGACCCUGGAAGGUUCAUUGGAAGUUCAAAAGACUUUCCCUGCCCUGCAACAGCUAGAGCCAGCAGGAGUUCGUGCUGAGCAGCUCAUCGAGGAACUGCUUUGAUCAGAAUCCUGGCAUGAUAGAACCAACAGACACAUUGCAAGUGCCAUAUCAAAAAGACCCUUGGCAAAUCUACUGUGAAGACUUUCCAUUUGGAUCCAUUUCAGUUGCAUGUGACUUCUUUAAAGUUCAGAGUAUGUGGUUUAGUGUCUGUUUAUAUGGCUUGUGUGUAUUUGUAUCUAUGUGCAAGAGCUGUGAAUGCGUGUGUUUCCUGGGAUACAUUCUGAGAAUCACUUUUUCAGUUAAUGAUGCUGGUGUGUGCAUGAGACCCUCUGGAUUCAUACAUCCCCAUCUCACUGGUAACUUUUCAAGGAAAGUCAUGCGCUGUGACAUUGUCCAAGAGAUGUGCUAGGUUUCACAGUUUCUCUUUUAAUUGUGGGUUAAGAUUAAUGUGUUCCCUGAACCAAGGGGAAUCAUGUUGGUAAACUGUUGACUUGUUUUGAGAAAAUGAUUCAGUACAAAACAUUUUCUUGUUAUAGAUAGCAGAAAUCAAGUUUAUAACUCAAAAGAGCUGAUGUAGUACUGGGUUGCUAUCUAAAUCUGUCACAAACAUAAACAGCUCUUGUUCCUGCUAAAAAUAGUGUGAAGUGUAAUUAAUUGAAUGUGAAAAAUGUAUUCCUUUCUACAAACUUGUCAUUAAAUGUGUCUAAUUGGGAAUCAGGAAACCAUUGGUUUAUAACUUGUAAAAUUAGUGUUUCCUGGUUACUGAGAAGUCCUGAUAAUGUAUUCAAGCAUCUAUUUAUCUUGUCUCCGUGUGUCUGUGGAUGUAUGUGUGUGAACAGGUACACAUUUUUGUAUAUAUUCCCGUGUGUAUGGAGACCAGGUUUUAUAUUGCUUCUCCCAUUGUCAUGUGCCACUACAUCCUCUUGUGACAACCUGAAGCUCCUUGAACCCAAAGCUCACCAAUUGGCUGGACUGGAUGACCCACUGGCUCUGAGAAUCUGUCUGUAGCAGCCACCCUCUGCCCAGCAGAAAUGAAAUUACAGAUUGACACGGACACUUCUGGCUUUUCCAUAGGUUCUGUGUCUUCACACACAAAUCCUCAUGCUUGCAUAGCAGCACAUUACCGACUAAGCCAUUCCCCUAUUUAUCUUUUCACACAGUAUACCUGCUCAGAUGCUGGACAUAGAUACCCCAUAGGUUAAAAACAUUACUCCACCCUUCCCAUGGUUUGAGUGGUUUCCUAUGACCUUUAGCAUAAUAGGAAUAUAUUGAAUAUAUUGAAGUAUUAAAUGGAGUGCUGGUUUUGGAUAUAUGUUUAAUAAUGCAAAGGUUAGAGCAGAAUUUGGCGAUAAACAAUGUGGAAUCAGGGUAAACACCAUAAAUGAGAUUUCCCAGGCUUAGCUUGCUACUGAAGUUUAGAAAUAGAAAAAGUUUCAGAGUGCUACUGGCUUCUCUUGCUGUUAAUUUGUUUGAUUUCAUUUUUAUUUAUCUUUUAAAAUUUUCCCAGUCCACAGACAGCUCGCAUGUCUAUAAUGUAAUAAUAACCUCUUGCCCUAAUUCAAAUAUGUACACACGAUUUGAAAUGUCUCAAUUUUCUUAAUACUUUCUUGCUUUUUAAAGGGUCUUUUGGGGACAAUCGUUUUUGUCGGAUUAAAAAUAAUGUUAGCU